rnacentral:lncRNA from 1 species
AGACAUGCACAUCAGAUACCUAUAACAAGCAAACGUUAUGUAUUGUUUCCUCUAUCUGGAGACUGUGACCUUUUCUCGUGAAGUUAAUAGCCACCCUGACAUGAACAGACUAGCAAACAAUUUACCUAGUGGCUGGUAUUUUCUCUGCCUUAAACAUUUCUGCCAAUUACAGUAUCAUAUUCCUAUCAAAAGCUAAACAGAAUGCUUUUUAAAAGACAGUCAAAACACUAUUGAACUCGAUUUUAAACGGCUAAAGAAGUGCAAAGUUUAGUGGCACCUGAUGUUCAAAUCCUGAGUGAUA